CCUACGGGAGGCUGCAGUGAGGAAUAUUGGUCAAUGGACGAAAGUCUGAACCAGCCAUGCCGCGUGCAGGAAGACGGCUCUAUGAGUUUUAAACUGCUUUUGUACAAGGGUAAACCUGAAUACGUGUAUUCAGCUGAAAGUACUGUACGAAUAAGGAUCGUCUAACUCCGUUCCAGCAUCCGCGGUAAUACGGAGAAUCUAAGCGUUAUCCGGAUUUAUUGGGUUUAACGGGUGCGUAGGCGGAUUGAUAAGUUAGAGGUGAAAUGUCCGGGCUCAACUCGGGAACUGCCUCUAAUACUGUUGAUCUAGAGAGUAGAUGCGGUAGGCGGAAUGUAUGGUGUAGCGGUGAAAUGCUUAGAGAUCAUACAGAACACCGAUUGAGAAGGCAGCUUACCAAUCUAUAUCUGACGUUGAGGCACGAAAGCGUGGGGAGCAAACAGGAUUAGAUACCCGAGUAGUC
rnacentral:rRNA from 1 species